UCCAGGUGUGGAAGUCACGAUCAGCAAUGAUCUUGGCAGGCUAAGAACGAGCCUGAGCAAACAUCUGAGUAAAAGUCCUUUCUUAUCUACAAUUCCAGCUCCACUAGACAAGGAGGAUGAAGGGAAAUUAAAGACACCUUCAGGUAUUUAAGGGUAAUCUACAGUAAUCUCAGUAAUCUCAGUAAUCUACAUUUACUGAGACGCCUUCCUGCAAAAGGUACCUGGAGUACGUGCUCUACAAGAACAAAAUAAAAGAGUCCAGAGGAGCAAUUUACAAUCCGCUUCCCGAAAUCAGCUGAAAACUCCUGAUGGGAGUUCAGUUCGGCCACUCCUAAAUCCGGCUAUAUAAAUUAUUCACUAUAUCCUACUCCCUCCAUUCACCACCUUUCAGAUAAGACACGGAACCCAAAGAAUUCAAGGAUGGUGUGCCCACGUUCACACAGUUCCUAAGCGGCAAGAUGGGAAUUUGAAUAGAACCCGCCUGACAAAAGUCUGAAUUAACGCUCUUCUCCAAAAUGCCUAAAUGGAUGUGGCGUAGACAUGUGCAGAGACAGGAUGUUAGAAUAAAGCCUAGAAGAACAGAGAGAAAACGAGACUAGAAGAAUGUGAAAGGCUGUCCUCCAUGGGUUCUGUCACUUCCCCGUGCGAUCAGCCCUCCGCCAGUCAACUCGGGUCGGCCAUGCACAGCCCAUCCCCAACCCCACAGCUCUUCCCCAACCUCUGGGAACCUCUGCCCCCCAACUGUGAGCACAGGGGAGGGAGUCCAGGUGGGUACCCACCUUUGACUCUGGGCUUCCCUCCCCCAGGAGACCCAACCAGCUCUCGCUGGAAUCCUGAGAGCUGGCGGGGCCAACAGCCAUCCUGUGGCCCCCUGGGGGCUGAGGAAGGGCCACCAUCACGGAGGCAGAGCUGGAAAUGAAGAUGUGUGUGACCCUCACCUGUGUGGAACCAGGGGGAGGCUGGACUCACAGUUGGAGAGCUCUUAAAUUCGCGCCCCUUUCCCUCUCCAACCAGACUGAGUGGGCAACGCCUUAGCAACUAAAAACCCAUUACAACUGCUCAGUACACAGACAAGGAAAAUGCCCGUAUGAUGGAGUCAGAAACAGUGAAAGGUGAAUUUAGGUUUUUGGUCCAUCUGCACUCUUAGAGAGGAGCAGAGGCCUAAAGCUUUCUGAGAGUCUUCCAGAAAACUGAGCAGAGGUGAGUACAGCCUCACCCUGUGGUGCUACAUCAUCCCAUCUCUGAAUAAAAGGAACCCUUUCCCGUGGCUCCUGUCUCCUUCUGAUACAACUCGGUCCGUCUUUCAAGCUUCCUUGUGUUCCCCUACAAAACAUGCCCCUGCCUCAUCUCGUGAACCAGUUCCCCCCCACCUGGAAUCAGCAGGGUUUCCAAGGAUCCGUGCCGACUGUCCUGGGGCAGCAUUGCCCGAUCAAGUUCUGUUCCGUGCCUCUGCUCACAGCUGCCUGUUUGGUAUAAUGUGAGGACUUUUCCAGAGAACCAGAAGACAGGUACUUCUUCAGAGUCUCCUGCUCACCAGGCAUGCUGCUGGCCACCAGCGCUCAGCACCAACCGUCAUGUGGUCCUUCCUUUCACCCGGGUUACCAGGAAGUCUGGGCUACUGGAUGAGCAUUCAGGCCAGCAACUGUUGGACCUGCCCAUGUGUCAUCUGAGCUCACGCUCUCUUCUAUGGCACUCUUUCAUAAAGAGUUUUCCUGCCUCAACUGGGGUAUAGACUACAAAUGUGUCAAGAUCCCUGAAAUCUAAUGCUCAGUGGGAGUGCAACAAAUUUCCACCAUGUCAAGAAACAGAGAUGAUACAGUCCUGGAAUCCUCCUCCCAAAGUGUCUCCAGAAGAUCGUUCUUUACAAGGAAACACUCCGCAUAUCGGGACAGAGGACCGAGCAGAGCUCUGUGAAGGGUAGAGUCGAGUGCAGAUCCGUAAGGACUCUACACAGGUCAAGAAGAACGAAGGCAGACCUGACUGCCUGCUGAAGCGGUCACCUGGCAAGGGCACGUGAAGGUGGCAUACCACGGGGUGAGGGAAGCUCUGGAACCAGGCAUUGACUCUGACCCACAAGCCCCCGACUUUGAAUAGGAAGACCAAGUACAAAGACGUAAGAAAUGAGAUGCUACUCACGAUCUCUAUGGCUUUCUUGUGCCACACUGGACACUGAUGUCUUGUGGUUGGAAAAGUUGUAAAAACGGUGGGCAGUGAAAUUUUUGAUCUUUCAACCAAGAAAUUACAAAAUAUGUUCACGGAUUAUACAAUGAUAAAAAUCUCAGAAUGGCAAUUAAAUUCAAUGGGAACUCAUGCAACUGUCAGGAAUGUUUUUGUUUGUAAAUCCCGUCCUUUCGCUUUGGAAACUCAUGUUUUCUAUAAUUUGGAACAUGAAUUUAAAUAUUUAAAUAUGCAACGCAAUGCAUACUAAAACGUCCACCGGUAUUUCAAUAUGAUUUCCAUUCACGGUGGCAGCAGGCCACCGUUAAUUAGGAAACCUUUUCUUCACUCUCUCCUUGGUCUGGGAUGCCCAUUAGGAAUCCCCGGGGCGAACAGUAUUUCAUCAACU